ACUCUCAUUUUCUCUGUGUUGCCAAUAAAUGUACUUCAUGCUUCCUUCUUGUUUGGGGAAAAUAAUGUGAAGGUUCUUGUUUCCUUUUUUUUUAUUUCUGAGUUACUUUCUUAUCUUUUCUUUAUUUGUGACUUAAGAUAUGGGCAAAAUUUAAUGAGGGUUGAGUUCCUGACCCCCUUUUGUGCUUUUGAAAAUUUUUCCUUUAUUCUAGAGACACAAAAACAAUACAUCAAUUUUGGGAAACCUUCUGCACGUGGAAUUAGUUAGUGCAUAGUAAGGCAGGGUGUGAAGUUACAGUAUAGUAGCUACUUUUUGCUAACUAACCAGGUAAACACUCUCGAGUACUUUAAGAGCGUCUCUGCUAGUAGCUUACAUCUCUGAAAGUGGAGUAAUCUACCUUGCACCACAUUUACACUAUGUCUGACCAGAACACCUAUUGUUCCCAGCAGGAUAACUACACCUCAAGCUUACUGUCCUGCUUCAGGUGGAUUGUCUCCUAAACUGGAAAUAAGAUUUGAGUAAGACAAUAUUUUUUAUUGGACCGGUUUAGAGAUGAGAAAGAUGCUAGACAAGUGUCUGGGCAUGAAAUAUUUUUGCUCAGGAAUUGCACCGUGGUGAUUAUGUCUUCAGUGUGGUUAGGUCAAAAUCAGGACUAGAAAAAUGCCUCCUUGAUCAGCCUUAAACAAGAAGAUUUGGGCUCCACCUUGUGGACAUAGAAUAAAUAUCAUGGGAAGAUAUAUAAAUUAGUGGAUGCAAUGAAGAUUUCAUUUGUAGCAUUUCCUGUAAUUUUUUGUUAGUCUAAGGAAAAAAACAAAAUUAGCCUACGAUCAUAUUUGUUUGUAUAGAGUUGUUUUAUCUGUUUUGAAUAAAAUAGUCUGAAAAUUAA